rnacentral:rRNA from 1 species
UACGGAGGUGGCAAGCGUUACUCGGAAUUAUUGGGUGUAAAGGGUAGGUAGGCGGUUUAUUAAGUGAGGGGUGAAAUCCUGCGGCUCAAUCGCAGAAUUGCCUUUCAAACUGGUAGACUUGAGGCCUGAAGGGGGAAACGGAAUUAGCAGUGUAAGGGUGAAAUCUGUAGAUAUUGCUAAGAACACCAGCAGCGAAGGCGGUUUCCUAGUCAGGUUCUGACGCUCAGCUACGAAAGCUAGGGGAGCAAACAGGAUUAGAUACCUUGGUAGUCCUAGCCGUAAACGAUGAGCACUAGGUGUUGGUCCUUCGGGAUCAGUGCCGCAGCUAACGCAUUAAGCGCUCCACCUGGGGACUACGGUCGCAAGGCUAAA